rnacentral:rRNA from 1 species
AGGACAAACGCUGGCGGCGUACCUAAGACAUGCAAGUCGAACGGGACUCACCGCUUCGGUGGGGAGUCUAGUGGCGGACGGGUGAGUAACGCGUAGGAACCUGUCGCACAGUGGGGGAUACCGCUGGGAAACCGGCGCUAAUACCGCAUGUGAUCAGCGAUGAUGAAAGCAGUAAUGCGCUGUGUGAGGGGCCUGCGUCCGAUUAGCUAGUUGGUGGGGUAACGGCCUACCAAGGCGACGAUCGGUAGCUGGUCUGAGAGGAUGGUCAGCCACACUGGGACUGAGACACGGCCCAGACUCCUACGGGAGGCAGCAGUUAGGAAAUUUCGGCAAUGGACGAAAGUCUGACCGAGCGACGCCGCGUGGAGGAUGACGCCGUUUCGGGUGUAAACUCCUUUUCUGCGGGAAGAUAAUGACGGUACCGCAGGAAUAAGCACCGGCUAACUACGCGCCAGCAGCCGC